GCAACAGUGGUAUAAUGGUUAGCAUAGCCUUCUUCCUUGCAGUUGACCCGGGUUCGAUUCCCGGUCGUCGCA